UGGGGAAUUUUGGACAAUGGGCGAAAGCCUGAUCCAGCAAUGCCGCGUGAGUGAAGAAGGCCUUCGGGUUGUAAAGCUCUUUUGUCAGGGAAGAAACGGUGAGGGCUAAUAUCCCUUGCUAAUGACGGUACCUGAAGAAUAAGCACCGGCUAACUACGUGCCAGCAGCCGCGGUAAUACGUAGGGUGCAAGCGUUAAUCGGAAUUACUGGGCGUAAAGCGUGCGCAGGCGGUUUUGUAAGUCUGAUGUGAAAUCCCCGGGCUCAACCUGGGAAUUGCAUUGGAGACUGCAAGGCUAGAAUCUGGCAGAGGGGGGUAGAAUUCCACGUGUAGCAGUGAAAUGCGUAGAUAUGUGGAGGAACACCGAUGGCGAAGGCAGCCCCCUGGGUCAAGAUUGACGCU
rnacentral:rRNA from 1 species